rnacentral:lncRNA from 1 species
UAGAGGUGCUGUGCCACUAUCUGAAAUGCUCUCUGAUGUGAUCACAUUAUGCACUUUAAUUUCUUUUGGAGGACAAAAUCUUUCUUCCCUUCAGGCCUGCUGACCUGGUUCUCCUUCAUGCUGUCUGCAUGUAAGAGACAAAGCACAUGGGGCUUCUGGACUGACAGAGAGAAGGAGUGGGGAGAUGAGCUGGAGCAAUUGUGCAACUGUACCAAAAUGUGGAGCAAACUACCAGUGGAAGCUGAAGGAGGCAUGAUGGUUUGUAAUGACUUGCCACAUGACCUAUCGCCUUGCAGUGCUAGAAAAGGAAGUAAAGCUGAGAAUUCCUGGCCCCCAGAUCUUGAUUUAAACUUCUCUAUCUUCAGCUUCAUCAAGAAAGAGAUUCCAGCACAAAUGAAGAAGUCCUUCUUUCUCAGUCUCCAUAAUUGAAAUUGAAGCAGCUACAAAUUACAUCUUUCCUCUGGUGGGAGCCACCCAUGUGGGUCCCUCUAAGAAAAAUUCUCAGCAGACAGAAGAUUGAUAAUAGAAUGUACAAACAGGAGCCAAUGGACCUCAGAAAGAAUAAAGAUGGGAGUAACAUGUCUUCUAAUCCUUAG